UGUAGGAAGGAAAGACGCUAUGAGGUGGAUGACUUGGCUCGAGAGCCGAAGAAGGUCGCGGCAAGCGGCGAAACGUCCGGUGUAGGCGCAGGCAGCCUGUGAUCCCGGAAUGACCGAAUGCGGCUUCGCAUCAGACCAUCUCAAAUGGUAGGGAACGCGGGGAAGUGAAACGUCUCAGUACCCGCAGGAGAAGAAAUCAAUCGAGAUUCCGUCAGUAACAGCGAGCGAACGCGGAACAAGGCAAACUGAAUUCCGCAGGGCAACUUGCGGAAGAUGUGGUGUUGCAGACUGUCUUUUAAUCCUUUUUGGGAAUCCUAAGUCCCCUGGAACGGGGUGCCGCAGAGUGUGAAAGCCACGUGGGAAAAACUGAGAAGGGUGUGACAGGAUCUAGAGUACCAGCCGCCGGAUACCGGUUGGGAACUGGGGGGCAUCAACCUCCAACCUUAAAUACUCCUCGAGUCCGAUAGCAAACGAGUAGCGCGAGCGAAAGUUGAAAAGAACCCCUAACGGGAAGUUCAAAGAGCCUGAAACCUCAUAGCCAUCGUGUGUUGCUGCCCUUCGGGGUUGCAACGUGCGUUCCGAAUAACGUGCCAGGGAGUUUAUCUUAGUGGCGAGGCGCAAGCCAGAGCGAAAGCGAUAAUCCGCAGUUCACGAGGGAAAGGGUAUGAAAGUGCCCGAUAGUCACUAGGAUAUGACCCGAAGCCGGGCGAUCUAACCCUAAACAGGAUGAAGCGGGGGUAAAACCCCGUGGAGGUCCGCAGAGGUGCUAGGUGCAACUGCUCUUCUGAUUUGGGGCUAGGGGUAAAAAGCCAAUCGAGCCCGGGAAUAGCUGGUUCCUACCGAUAUUGGCCGUAGUCAAGUGCUGGCAGAGGCAGUGCGAGCGGUAGAGCGACGGAUUGGGGGCUUAGGGCGGGAGACCGCUCGGUCCCUUGACCAACUCCAAAAACUCUCACGCCGUGGAAGCUGGUAAACGGGAGCGCGGGGUAACCUUGCGUUCCGUGAGGGGAACAACCCACACUACAGUUAAGGUCCCAAAAUACCGUUUUAAGUGCGAAAGGGUGAAGGGUGUCCACCGUCGAAGACAGCGAGGAGGUUGGCUUAGAAGCAGCCACCCUUUAAAAAGUGCGUAACAGCUUACUUGUCAAGAUGAUGGGCCCUGAAAAUGGACGGGGCUAAAUCGGUUACCGAUACUGUGGAACAACGUAUGGUAGGUAGGUGUCUUGCAUGGGCAGAAGCGCUUUCAAAAGAAAGCGUGGACCGUGUAGGAAUAAAAAUCCUGGCGAUAGUAAGAACGGAGUACUGUGAGAAUCAGUACCACCGAAAGGGCAAGGGUUUCUUGACAAUGAAAAUCAGUCAAGAGGUAGUCGGCGCUAACCAAGCUCUUAACCGAGCAAUGGGAAAGAGAAAACGGUUAAUAUUCCGUUACUCUUCCUGUAUGUGCGGCGACGCAAGCCUUGUUUCCGACGUUUCCGGCUACGCGGGCGGUACCUGUCUGUACCGUGAAUCUCCAUAACUCAGGGGAGUAUCGUAAUGAUGAGAUCCUGAGCAAAGGAGAGACCAGUGCCUCUUUGAGGCAUCCCGCCGAGGCCAGGAGCCCUUGAAAAGGGAACAGGGAAAAACCGGGAAGAGCCGUACCCAGAACCAGCACUGGUGCCCCUAGGUGAGUAGCCUAAGGUGUAUAAGGGAUAAACUAGUCAAGGGAACUCGGCAUAUUGGCCCUGUGACUUCGGCAUAAAGGGUCCCUGUUUUCGUCGCAAGGCGAUGGCAGGGUUCAAACACCAAGGAGGUCCGACUGUUUAACAAAAACAAAACUGACUGCGAGCGCGCAAGCGUGUGUAUAGUCAGUGACACCUGCCCAGUGCGCGUAAUUCAAACUCCUUUUCAAGGGAGCUAAGAUCGCGUAAACGGCGGGGGUAACUAUAACUCUCUUAAGGUGAUACGUUGCCUUAAGACCCGAGACGUUAAACAUUCGAUGAGAUGAAGACGGGAUGAACAAUCUGACUAUAUGCUGGAACAACUCGAGCAUCUUGUGAUAGGAUAUCAUUUCAGCGAUGAGAUGACGACCCCUGAAAAUUCACAAGUGGAGUCCAUCAGCAGGAAAGACUUCUUUCUAAAGAAGAAUCCUCAGAGACUGCAUGUCAGACACGUAAAACGUGAAGAUACAGUCCGAACCGUGCAGCGAUGCAUGGAAGCAGCAGAAAUGACUGCUCGCCAUCUGUCGAUGGUUGUAACAGCAAUGAGCGUAAUACCUUGCCGUUUGAUUGACGGCUUGCAUGAAUGGUGUAACGAGAUCUCCACUGUCCCUGACUAGAUCCUUCCGAACAAUUUUACUGGUGCAAAGACCAGCGAUUUCCAGUGGGAAGCGAAGACCCCGUGAAACUUUACUGUAGCCUGUUGUUGCGAUGUGAAUCGCGUUGCAGAGCGUAGGUGGGAGAUGUCAAAGCUUAGGUUCCGGCUUAAGUGUAAUCGACCUUGUAACACCACCCUUCGUAGUUUGCAUUGCUUACUUCGCAAGAAGGACACCGAUAGGCAGACAGUUCGGCUGGGGUGGCACCCCGACGAAAAGAUAUCGUCGGGGCCCAAUGGUGAGCUCACCUGGGUCGGAAAUCCAGGGUAGAGUGCAAAGGCAAAAGCUCGCCUGACUGGGUUGAUACCAAGAUUCAACCCAGCAUAGAAAUAUUGGCUUAGCGAACCUCUAUGUCCUCCUUGAUGGGGGCUAGAGAUGACCGAAAAGUUACUCCGGGGAUAACAGAGUUGUCGCGCCCGAGAGCUCCUAUCGACGGCGCGGCUUGCUACAUCGAUGUCGGCUCUUCCUAUCCUGGGCGUGCAGAAGCGUCCAAGGGUGGGGGUGUUCACCCAUUAAAAGGGAUCGUGAGCUGGGUUCAGAACGCUGCGAGGCAGUUUGUUUGAUAUCUACUGGAAAUGCUUGGUGUCUGCGAGGAAGGAGCCUCUAGUACGAGAGGAACGGGGCUUCGAAGCCUCUGGUGUAUCAGCUGUCUGACAAGGCACGCUGAGCAGCUACGCUUUAAGGGAUAAGUGCUGAACGCAUCUAAGCACGAAGCCCACCUCUAAAAGAGACACCGUAGAACUCCCCUACAACAGGGGUUUGAUGGAACUGGCGUGUACGCACCAAGGCAACGAGGUGUUCAGCGUGCAGUCCCCAAUCGUUCGUACCUUAACCUA
rnacentral:rRNA from 1 species